rnacentral:misc_RNA from 1 species
CUUGUUUAUCUCCAACCACAAGUC